GUCCCUUUCGUCUAGCGGUCUAGGACACUGCCCUUUCACGGCAGCAACAGGGGUUCAAUUCCCCUAAGGGACA
rnacentral:tRNA from 1 species